UACGGAGGGGGCUAGCGUUGUUCGGAAUUACUGGGCGUAAAGCGCGCGUAGGCGGACCUGCAAGUCGGGGGUGAAAGCCCGAGGCUCAACCUCGGAACUGCCUUCGAUACUGCGGGUCUCGAGUCCGGGAGAGGUGAGUGGAAUUCCUAGUGUAGAGGUGAAAUUCGUAGAUAUUAGGAAGAACACCAGUGGCGAGGACGGCCG
rnacentral:rRNA from 1 species